CUGCAGAUUUCAGUUCCGCCACAUCAUGGGCUCCUACCAACUGAGUAACCUGGGUGAGCAGCUGGUCUCCACACCAACUCCCAUUACUCGUGGGCAUGCCGUUUGCUAAGACUUGCCGGCACUUGACUAGACUUCCUUCUAAUGCGGGCGCCUGUUACGAUGUCAUCUCCCCAGCCUCAACCACUUCUUCCAGAAAAGAUUCUACAAACUCCUUAAUCAUCUACGGGGCCAAAUAAGAGGAUGCUGACAUGAGAUGAACAGCUGCUGGGGCAGGCACGCAGCGGCAAUGAAGACGUAGAGAGAGAACAUUGUUCUUAACAAAAAACAG